UACGUAGGGUGCGAGCGUUGUCCGGAAUUACUGGGCGUAAAGAGCUCGUAGGUGGUUUGUCGCGUUGUUCGUGAAAUCUCACGGCUUAACUGUGAGCGUGCGGGCGAUACGGGCAGACUAGAGUACUGCAGGGGAGACUGGAAUUCCUGGUGUAGCGGUGGAAUGCGCAGAUAUCAGGAGGAACACCGGUGGCGAAGGCGGGUCUCUGGGCAACAACUGACGCUGAGGAGCGAAAGCGUGGGGGAGCGAACAGG
rnacentral:rRNA from 1 species